rnacentral:lncRNA from 1 species
CUCUGAAAAAGCCCUAGAUAGCUGCCAGGUGAUGCCAGAGAUUACUAGUUUUGGGGCCAAUUAAAGUAGCAAGAUGCAGCCAGCAGUGGUGGCUCAUGUCUGUAAUCCUAGCACUCUGGGAGGCCGAGGCCCAGCUCAAGGGAGCAGAACUAAAGUUACAUGAUUCUGCUGUGGAUGUAUGAGCUCCACUCCAAUAAUUUAUUAUCAUGGUUGGAGACUUUGACUUGUCACUUUAUGACUUGAAAUAUGGCUCCAUGGUAAAUGCCCAUGAAGCUGAUUUUUAAAAUAUGGAUAUUACAGAUCUAAUUCUCACUUAGUUUAAAAGGUAGAAUAGGGUUCUCGUUUCAUAGAUCAUUUGUGUGAAUGUUGAUUUGUCAUGUCAUUGACAUCAUACACACAUGCUUACAUUUUGGAGGUUGCUAGUGUUUCCCAUUAAUGCUUCUGAAUUGAUGCCAAAGGAAAGCAUUGAUUAUAAAUUAGGUUCCUUGGUAUUAGUUGGUGCAUGAUCCUGACCCUUUU